rnacentral:rRNA from 1 species
GAUUCCUACGGGAGGCAGCAGUGGGGAAUAUUGCACAAUGGGCGAAAGCCUGAUGCAGCAACGCCGCGUGAGGGACGAAGGCCUUCGGGUUGUAAACCUCUUUUAGUAGGGAAGAAGCGAAAGUGACAGUACCUGCAGAAAAAGCACCGGCUAACUACGUGCCAGCAGCCGCGGUAAUACGUAGGGUGCAAGCGUUAUCCGGAAUUAUUGGGCGUAAAGAGCUCGUAGGCGGUUUGUCGCGUCUGCUGUGAAAACUGGAGGCUCAACCUCCAGCCUGCAGUGGGUACGGGCAGACUAGAGUGCGGUAGGGGAGAUUGGAAUUCCUGGUGUAGCGGUGGAAUGCGCAGAUAUCAGGAGGAACACCGAUGGCGAAGGCAGAUCUCUGGGCCGUAACUGACGCUGAGGAGCGAAAGCAUGGGGAGCGAACAAGAUUAGAUACCCUGGUAGUCCAUGCCGUAAACGUUGGGAACUAGAUGUAGGGUCCAUUCCACGGAUUCUGUGUCGCAGCUAACGCAUUAAGUUCCCCGCCUGGGGAGUACGGCCGCAAGGCUAAAACUCAAAUGAAUUGACGGGG